rnacentral:rRNA from 1 species
UAACUGCGAGUGAAGAGGGAAGAGCUCAAAUUUAAAAUCUGGCAGUCAUUGGCUGUCCGAAUUGUAAAUUAGAGAAGCGUUGUCCGCACUGGCCUGUGCAUAAGUCCCUUGGAAAAGGGCAUCAUAGAGGGUGACAAUCCCGUCUUUGGCACAGACUACCAGAGCUUUUGUGAUGCGCUCUCAAUGAGUCGAGUUGUUUGGGAAUGCAACUCUAAAUGGGUGGUAAAUUCCAUCUAAAGCUAAAUAUUGGCGAGAGACCGAUAGCGCACAAGUACCGUGAGGGAAAGAUGAAAAGAACUUUGAAAAGAGAGUUAAACAGUACGUGAAAUUGUUGAAAGGGAAACGCUUGAAGUCAGUCGCAUCCUUCAGAAAUCAACCUGGCCAUCAGGUCUGGUGCAUUUUCUGCUUGGAUGGGUCAGCAUCAAUUUUGACCAUUGGAUAAAGGCUUUGGGAAUGUGGCAUCUCUGGAUGUGUUAUAGCCCAUUGUUCACAUACAGUGGUUGGGAUUGAGGAAUGCAGCACUUUCCUUGUGUUGGUGCUCAGGAUGCUGGCAUAAUGGCUUUAAUCGACCCGUCUUGAAACACGGACCAAGGAGUCUAACAUACAUGCAAGUGUUUGAGUGGAAAACUCAUGCGCACAAUGAAAGUGAAAGUUGAGAACCCUGUCGUGGGGUGCAUCGACGCCCGGACCUGACCUUUUGUGAUGGAUCUGCGGUAGAGCAUGCAUGUUGGGACCCGAAAGAUGGUGAACUAUGCCUGAAUAGGGUGAAGCCAGAGGAAACUCUGGUGGAAGCUCGUAGCGAUUCUGACGUGCAAAUCGAUCGUCAAAUUUGGGUAUAGGG